GCUGCGCCGUGAGCCUGGAGCCCGCGCGGGCUCUGCUGCGCUGGUGGCGGAGCCCGGGGCCCGGAGCCGGCGCCCCCGGCGCGGCAUCACCCCUAUUUCAGAUGUGGACAGUAGGAGUGGGAAUUGACUGGGCCCAGAGGCAGUGAUGUACAGAGGGAGCUGGCUUUGAACCCAGGCACGUGCACUUUCGUCAGUGGGUCAUCAUGCUGGGACAGUGACUGACUGUACAAGAGCACAGACAAGGACUAGCAAUUUGGAUCGCUGCAGCUUCCUGGGCCUGGGUGAGGUCUGCACCUGAGGAAGCCGCGACAGCAAGUGCCCUGGGCCGCCAGCCUGGUGGGAAGUAGGGCAGGACGAAAACAGGAACUUGAAGUGGGUCAUGCUCGUUGAACUGGAAACACUGAGUUGAUAUCUGGGUUAUUUCCCCUGACUGU
rnacentral:lncRNA from 1 species